rnacentral:rRNA from 1 species
GUGCAAGCGUUAUCCGGAUUCACUGGGUUUAAAGGGUGCGUAGGCGGGCAGGUAAGUCAGUGGUGAAAUCUCCGGGCUUAACCCGGAAACUGCCGUUGAUACUAUUUGUCUUGAAUAUUGUGGAGGUAAGCGGAAUAUGUCAUGUAGCGGUGAAAUGCUUAGAUAUGACAUAGAACACCAAUUGCGAAGGCAGCUUACUACACAACGAUUGACGCUGAGGCACGAAAGCGUGGGGAUCAAACAGG